rnacentral:rRNA from 1 species
AACGAACGCUGGCGGCAUGCCUAACACAUGCAAGUCGAACGAGACCUUCGGGUCUAGCGGCGCACGGGUGCGUAACGCGUGGGAACCUGCCCUUAGGUUCGGAAUAACUCCCCGAAAGGGGUGCUAAUACCGGAUAAUGUCUUCGGACCAAAGAUUUAUCGCCUUUGGAUGGGCCCGCGUUGGAUUAGCUAGUUGGUAGGGUAAAAGCCUACCGAGGCGACGAUCCAUAGCUGGUCUGAGAGGAUGAUCAGCCACACUGGGACUGAGACACGGCCCAGACUCCUACGGGAGGCAGCAGUGGGGAAUAUUGGACAAUGGGCGAAAGCCUGAUCCAGCAAUGCCGCGUGAGUGAUGAAGGCCUUAGGGUUGUAAAGCUCUUUUACCCGGGAUGAUAAUGACAGUACCGGGAGAAUAAGCUCCGGCUAACUCCGUG